GUGUUCGCAAUUUGUUCGAAUCUGCCUUUGACGCUUGGAAAAGUUGAAGUUUCAGAUUAUCACGGCUUUACCAAAACCUUCGUAUCUCGAUGUUGGAAUGUCGGAAUUGAAAACCGUUUUUAUUGAUAGAAACUUGACUCGGAGAGAUUUUCGAAUAUGGCACGCCUUAGCAGGACAAAUCUUCAACAUCAUAUGGAAGGACAAAUUCAUGACCGUAUAUGGAAGGACAAAUCUAUGACAGCAUAUAUGGAAGGACAAAUCCAUGACAGCAUAUAGAAAUAUCAAAUCCAUGAUACCAUAUAGAAGUAUCAAAUUCAUGACAUCAUAUAGAAGGAUCAAAUUCAUGAAGAGGCCAACUUAAGGUGCAAAGGGACUUAAACGUUCACCUUAAGAUUAAAAAAUUAUAAUUCCUUUUCGGACAAACUCGCGAAGAGGUCAACUUAAGGUGUAAAGGGACUUCAAUGUCUACCUUAAUAUUGAAAAAAUAUAGUUCCUUUUAAGUACAAACCCUCAAAGAGACCAAUAUAAGGUGCAAAGAGACUAACAUGUCCACCUUAAGAUUGGAAAAUUAGAAAACUUCAACUUGGACUUGCAGAUUUCAACUUGAAGACCAUAAAAUUUGAAAAUUUGACGGACUUGAAAAUUUGGUGGACUUUGAUACUUCAACUUGAAGAGCAGUGGACUUUUAAACUUCAACUUAAAAAAUUAGCAGACUUGAAGACUUCAGCUUUAAGGCUUUUAUGGCUUAUAAUUCAACUUGAAAACCGGCGAAUUUGAGGACUUCAAAUUGAAGACCGAUGGACAUAAAGACUUGGAGGGAUUGAAUACUUCAACUUAAAGUUUGGCGGACUUGUAGAAUUAAACUUGAAGGGCGGUGGACUUGCAAAAUUUAACUUGAAGAGCGACAUACUUGAAAAUUUGGAGGGCUUAUAUAAUUCAACUUGAAGACCGAUGAACUUGAGGGCUUCAAAUUAGAGAUUUAGCCUUCUACUAAAAGUCUACAUUCAUCCAUCGGAGAUGCCAAUUUGCUAUGGAGGCUUGCCCCCAUUGAACCACCAAUCCUUGAUAAGGCACAAAAUUCAUGUAUGCCCGAUUUUUAAGUUCCAAUCAAGUGAAUUAUAUUCCAUCAUUCUUCCUUCGAAUAACGAUUGGGGUAAUAUGUAUAUUUUAAACUCAUGCGACUUAACUCAAAAUGAAACUCUAA